GCCCACCUUGUGCAUCUGAAGCAGAUACACCACCACUUCCUUGUACAACUCAACCAGCCGCUGGAAGACUGGGGGCUCAAAUGUAGACCACCAGUUUCCUGACGCAAAUACAAGACCAAACAGUUAGUGAAAAAAAGGGCCCAGGGUAUAAUGAAGACCAAAACACACACACACACACAAAAAAACUAUGGAGGGAAUAAUGUUCUAUAAUGUUGUAAAACCUCAUAGUUACCUCCACAGUAAUCGCAGUAAUUACAGUAUGUUGAAAAAAGACGGCUGAAAUACGCUGAGAUUUUAGACUGUGUAGACUUAAAGACUCUUAAAUGUGUUAAAACCCGAAUAAACACUAGAGAUGCAUGUA